UCGCAGUCGCCGGCAACCUCACCUCUUCUCUUCCUCUUCCCUGUUUCUCAUUCACACUCUUCUCCUCUCUCCAUCUCACUCGCGAAACCACUGAACCCUAGCUCUGCCAACCACCGUCACCCUCCGUUUUCACCGCCGACCACAACCCACACCGCCGCGCCCCUUUUUCUUCUUCUUCAUGUGCCCUCUCACCCCUGACCCUCUCGUUCCUUUUGGGUUGAAGAACAGAGCAAGUACAAGCUCUUGUUCUCUUCGUCUCAAGCGAGUCCAGCUGCUGCGACGUAUCCCCUGUGUCUUCCAGCACUGUGCCGACUUCCCUCUCUAACACUGCCCUUGGCCCCACCACCUCCCCUUCCCCUUCCCUGUUCCAUUCCUUCCUUCCAGUUUACAACUUCUGUUCACUUGAGGAGGAUCAUCCUCUCCAACGGCACCUACAUUCUGCCUGAGCUUGACACUCCCUCCGAGCAUUCUGAGGAGGAGGAGGACCAACAUCAUGAGCCAAAGGAGAUCUGAGAACCACAAGCAGACGGAAGAGCUGAUGAUAGCGACGACUCCUUCCACUCUGCAUAAUCAUGAGCACCGAGGACGGUGCUACAUCUUAAGUGUGGGGAGGUUGUCCAACUUCAGCAGCACAUUUUGGGUGACAAUCUUCAUUUCCGAACGAACACCUUUAGGGUAGUUUCUUUUUUAUGUUUUGUUUGGUACUUUGUAUAUAUUUUAUCCUUUUGAGGAACUUUUUACUUAGUUUAUUGCACUUUCUUAGCUUAUUGCACUUUUUAAUUUUGCUUGUACAUAACUUAGUAUUAUAUAAUAGUUAUGCAUAUUUUGAUAUUUUUGCCUUCAA